GACGAACGCUGGCGGCGUGCCUAAUACAUGCAAGUCGAGCGCUGAAGGUUGGUACUUGUACGAACUGGAUGAGCAGCGAACGGGUGAGUAACGCGUGGGAAAUCUGCCUGUGAGCGGGGUACAACAUGGGGAAACGAAUGCUAAUACCGCAUAAAAACUUUAAACACAGGUGUUAAGGUUGAAAGAUGCAAGUGCAGCAUUCAAAGAUGAUCCCGCGUUGUAUUAGCUAGGUGGUGAGGUAAAGGCUCAUCAAGGCGGUGAUACAGAGCCGCACUGAGAGGGUGGUCGGCCACAUUGGGACUGAGACACGCCCCAAACGCCUUCGGGAGGCAGCAGUAGGGAAUCGUCGGCCAUCGGCGGAAGUCUGACCGCGAAACGCCGCGUGAGUGAAGAAGGUCUUCGGAUCGUAAAACUCUGUUGGUAGGGAAGAACGUUGGUGAGAGUGGAACGCUCAUCAAGUGACGGUAACUACCCAGAAAGCGACGGCUAACUACGUG
rnacentral:rRNA from 1 species